UCGGGAAUAUUGCGCAAUGGAGGAAACUCUGACGCAGUGACGCCGCGUGCAGGAAGAAGGUUUUCGGAUUGUAAACUGCUUUAGACAGGGAAGAAAAAGAACAGUACCUGUAGAAUAAGCUCCGGCUAACUACGUGCCAGCAGCCGCGGUAAUACGUAGGGAGCGAGCGUUAUCCGGAUUUAUUGGGUGUAAAGGGUGCGUAGACGGGAAGAUAAGUUAGUUGUGAAAUCCCUCGGCUCAACUGAGGAACUGCAACUAAAACUGUCAUUCUUGAGUACUGGAGGAAGGAAGUGGAAUUCCUAGUGUAGCGGUGAAAUGCGUAGAUAUUAGGAGGAACACCAGUGGCGAAGGGCGACUUUUCUGGACAGAAACUGACGUUGAGGCACGAAAGUGUGGGGAGCAAACAGGAUUAGAUACC
rnacentral:rRNA from 1 species